UAGGUACAUUAAACCACGUUGUUUUUCCUUCGCCAUAGACACAAAUGAAGAAGGAAAACGUAACGUGAGAUAACUUCUACAAUCGUUGGAUUUCAGUUUAGUUUUUUUGACAGGUUUAAGUGUUCAUGACAAGAUAUGGCCAUGGUAAAGAUGUGAUGAU